rnacentral:rRNA from 1 species
GAUUAACGCUAGCGGCAGGCAUAAUACAUGCAAGUUGAACGGCAGCACAGGUAGCAAUACUGGGUGGCGAGUGGCGCACGGGUGCGUAACACGUAUGCAACCUACCCUAUACAGGCGAAUAACCUUUAGAAAUGAGGGCUAAUACGCCGUAGUAUUACAGAUGGGCAUCUAUUUGUAAUUAAAGAUUUAUCGGUAUAGGUUGGGCAUGCGUCCCAUUAGUUAGUUGGUAAGGUAACGGCUUACCAAGACGAUGAUGGGUAGGGGAUCUGAGAGGACUUACCCCCACACUGGUACUGAGACACGGACCAGACUCCUACGGGAGGCAGCAGUAAGGAAUAUUGGGCAAUGGCCGCGAGGCUGACCCAGCCAUGCCGCGUGCAGGAAGACGGCCUUAUGGGUUGUAAACUGCUUUUAUACGGGAAUAAUAGAGUGUACGCGUACAUUUAUGCAAGUAUCGUAUGAAUAAGCAUCGGCUAACUCCGUG